UGGGGAAUAUUGGACAAUGGGCGAAAGCCUGAUCCAGCAAUACCGCGUGUGUGAAGAAGGCCCUAGGGUUGUAAAGCACUUUCAAUAGGGAGGAAAAAGAGUAAGCUAAUACCUUGCUUAUUGACAUUACCUAUACAAGAAGCACCGGCUAACUCCGUGCCAGCAGCCGCGGUAAUACGGAGGGUGCAAGCGUUAAUCGGAAUUACUGGGCGUAAAGAGUGCGUAGGCGGCACGUUAAGUCAGAUGUGAAAGCCCUGGGCUCAACCUGGGAACUGCAUUUGAAACUGGCGAGCUCGAGUUGAGUAGAGGUAAGUGGAAUUUCAGGUGUAGCGGUGAAAUGCGUAGAUAUCUGAAGGAACACCAGUGGCGAAGGCGACUUACUGGA
rnacentral:rRNA from 1 species